CAACCCGCCUCCUGCUUCCGUCACGUGGUCAGGGAAAGUGAGGAGCACUACUGGGGAGCUACACAUCAUAGCAGCACAGCAGACGACACACCAAGAUAUUUACACCUGUACCGUGGUCACUGAGACAGAUGGUGAUGAUAAGCGUCUACCACUGAUGUCAUCUUCUCAAAUUACACUUAUUGUUAAAGGUAUUGUCCCACACAAACACACACACACACACAUUGUCCGUCGUCUAGCAAUGUCACGCGAACAACGGUCCUCUUUCACUACAAGCCUUAUAACCAGAAACAUUUCGAGCCUCACCGCCGUAUUUGCCCGUUUUGUAUCGAAGGCUGACUUUCACUUUAUUAAGAGAGAGCUGAGGUGAGUACAGUUGUUUGUAAUCACUUUGUUCACUAUUGUCAGCCUGUCGGCUUCUCUUUAAAGUCACCUUAAGGUCACGUGGGAUGUUGAAUUGAGAUUAUUGAUUCUAUAUACAAGUAGACUGAUUUUAAUAGCAUUGUGCAAUACAAUAGAAUACAAUACAAUACAAUACAAUACAAUACAAUACAACACAAUACAAUACAAUACAACACAAUACAAUACAAUACAGUUUAAUACAAUACAAUACAAUACAAUCCAAUCCAAUACAAUACAAUACAAUACAAUACAAUACAACUUUAUUCAUAACCAGGAGCCAUUGUCUUUAGAGCUGUUAAGAUUCAAGAGUACGAUCCUUGUUAACCUACAGUAGUGGAGCAAGUUAAGCAUCUUUUUCCUUACAAAUUCUGUGAAAUUUAUUACAGGUUACCCCGUUUAUGGUCUUCCAGAAAUGGAAUGUUUUUAAUAUCAGUUUGUUGUAUCUGUAGAUUACAUGGCAACAACUGGAUGCUUAUUUUUACAGCACACCAAAUAAGCGACACGGAGAUUGAGUGAACGGCACGUAAAAGAUGUUUUCAGUGGGAAGUGAACAUCAGCAACAUCUGUUCACACUUGAAUAACAAUGUCAACUGUGUAAACAAGUAUUUGUGCAACCUGCGUGUCACAUUUAAGUGGCCAGAUGCUUUCUUUUUUGCUUUUAACUAUAGAGAUAGAGGUAGUCUUUUGUUCACGGGGGAGGCUCCUUAUUCUCCUAGCCUCAAGCCUGUGAACUGAAUUCCACUUUCUCCUCUCCAAUCCCGUCCAGCUAACAUGAAUAGUUCUUAGCAUAGCGAUCAUAGCGAUUUUAGUGUUCGUCUAGAUUUUUUUAUAUAUAAAAUAUAAUCCAUUUUAUGUUUCAUGACAAAGUGUGAUCUUUUUCAUCGAUUCAAAACGUUGAAACGAGUGUUUUAAUAUAUGAGUGUGAGGAUGUCUGCUCUUGCGUGUGUAAUCUUUUGAGAAAAAGAAAAAAAGAAAGAAGUCUUUUAAAACAAAGAAACGAGUGAAGUGCAUAAAUAUCUGUAUGGGUCGAUUCAGAAAUGCAUUAACUUGCUUAGCCUUUAUUCAAGGUUGACACGUCUGUCUACAUUUUCCUCGAGAAAUGUUUUUAUUUCUACUGCAAAUUUUGAGUAUCUUUUUUCAGUUCUUGUUCUUUCGCCAUAAUGGUGUUGAUAUUAAAAUGACUUUUAUUCCCGCCAAUACAUUUUAUCAGUAAACAAAGGUAUAUGAUUAUUUUAGAAAUAAUCAAACAAUAGGUCGCAAGCCUUGAUGUUUGAAUCAUUCACGUACGGAGAAGGCUCGGGCCUCAUCGUCCUUGACGACCUGAGAUGCACAGGUGAGGAGUCCAGGUUAGAGGAGUGUGACCAUGAAGGAUUUUAUAAACAUGAUUACAGUCACAUUGAGGACGUUGGUAAGAUCUGCGACACAGGUGAGAACGAGCUCUUCCUAUCUGUUGGUUUCCUGUAUGCCAUGUUUUUCUAGCUAUGCUGAGAGAAACAAAAGGAGUAAAAGAGAUAUUAAUUAAACUAAAAUUAACAAUUUGAGAUGUAUAAGGACGCUUUAUUUACCUACAAAAAUAUAUAAAUGCAACAUGCAUUUUCAUAGCAUUAAACCGGUUAGUUUUCAUUAAAAUAUAUUUAGGACUUCAGACAAGAGUACACAUGAGGAUUAAUAUUUUUGCGAUAUAUUAUUAUCUCGAUAAAUUGUUUUCUAAGUUUUGUGACUAAUGCCGUUUGUCUGUACAGGAUAAUGCUGAGAUCACACUCACAAGUAAUGUUUGAUUUAAUAACAAUGGACCAACCGCAUGCCUCGGUCUUCUUUCUCGCACCUGGAUCAUAUAAUGCAUGUGUUCUAGAAACUCAUCAUCUUCAGGGGCAGGCAGUCUUUCUUUAGGGGACAUCUUUUCUUGAAUCAGAAGAAAACAGACAACUAACACAGCCGUACCGCACCCACCGCACGACACAGCUCAGCAGCUUUCCACAGAAAACACGUUCGACUGCGUUUGAUGGACACCCAUGGCAUCAGACGAGACAGAGGUCGUGUAGAGAUGGAGGUUGGAGGUCAGUGGAGUUCACUGUGUAUGUAUCCUAACACUGCUCCUGUCAUCUGUAGACAGCUCGGCUUCCCGUAUGCUGCAAUGUUGACAAAUGCAUCAACACCGGCGAGCAGUUUAUUUGGACACAGAGAGCUCCUUGCAAACGAGGUUGCGUUCUAUUGUCUCGGGUAUGAAGCUAAACUCUUCGACUGCGAGCAGGAGGUAUGGUACGGAUACUGUACAACGAACUACAUCAUCACUUGUAGCGGCUCUCCUUAUCUUCGAAUUCUGUAUGACAAACACCUUUAUCCACCACUGGAGGGAACGAACCUAACACUAGAGUGUGAGAGCCUGCAGUCUGGUCAGUCAAAUGUUACCUUCAGGUGGUAUAGGUAUUCCAGACAUUUUAGAAAGUACCUAAUCUUUGACAAGGUGACCAGACAACAUCAAGGUCUCAAAGUGAGAUGCAUGGCUGACUAUGUCUACGAUGGACUCACUUACCGGGUAGUUAGUGACAUCCUGGUCAUGAAUGUUUGCUGUGCCCCUUCAAUAAAGUCCACUAACAGACCGCCGCCAGAGUUAUUACACAUUGCCGGUGAUGAAGGACAUCUCAGCAUUGAAAUGACAGCCUACCCCACCCCUCACCUGAAAAACAUGGCGUACCUCGGACAAGUCUUGAAUAAAAGUAUUAAAGGAAAAAACAUUGAAAACUUAGCUCAUGUCGACUGCAAUGACAGCCUCGUGUCACGUGCUUCAGUCACAUGCUCCAUCACCGUCUUCAACAUCUCACAAAUUGCUAAAGGUUUUUACAAGACAGUUUUUAGCAAUAGACUCGGGGACCUGCCUUUUAUAUUCACAGUCAACCGAAAUACCGCUCGCAGUGGAGAAAGAUCACGUGUCUUAUGGAUUGUGGGUAGUUCAUCCUUUGGUGGAGUAGUCACCGCUGCAGCAAUCUUCCUGGUCUGUCACUUGAAAAAUGCCAUGACCAUAAAGGGUUACACUAGCUCUUGAGCCAUCGAAAAGUUGUCUCCCUGACAGUGAGCUAGCACACGGCGUGCAGAGCAUCCCACUAGUCAGGAAGAAAUAAGAGCUGUGUGACAAGAGAGACACAUUCAGGGAGGAAACAGUCAUCAGGAGUGGGUCUUGAAGAAAUGCCAGCUCGAGGUGGGAUGAACGUGUAUCAUGAAGAGAAAACUGACCAUCGUGGAAAGAAGACCCGAAAUGCAGACAAAGUUGAUUCUUACCCAAUUUAUGUC
rnacentral:misc_RNA from 1 species